UACGUAGGGGGCGAGCGUUAUCCAGAUUUACUGGGCGUAAAGCGCGUGUAGGCGGCUGGUUAGGUGUGAUGUGAAAUCCUCGGGCUCAACCCGAGAACUGCAUUGCAAACCGGCCUGGCUAGAGUGCAGGAGAGGGAAGCGGAAUUCCAGGUGUAGCGGUGAAAUGCGUAGAUAUCAGGAGGAACACCGGUGGUGUAGACGGCUUUCUGGACCGUAACUGACGCUGAGACACGAAAGCGUGGGUAGCAAACAGG
rnacentral:rRNA from 1 species